GCACGAGAGGAAGAAAUCAUAUAUUGAAAAAACUAUGGGAUUACAAUUGUUAAUAUUACAGGAGGAAUAACUUCCAAAUGUGAAAGCAUCCACCAACAUCCCUACAACUUCACUAAAACUUAACCAAGGAACAUCAUCCAACAGGAAUAGCAUCCCUACAAAUUAACUAAAACUGAAAACAGCCAUCAUAACAAAAACUAAAAACAGCCAUCAUCGUGAACCAGAACAUCAUCAUCAUUGUAGUAUACCUGCCAGGCACCCAUAUAAGCGUCCAUAUAUCUUUUAAAUCUACAAUGAAAAUAACAAAAUGAUCUGUUAAUACACAAUAUGUUGACAUGAUGUAAAUAGUGACGGGUUGUCCAACAAAUAAGAAAUAUUACUUCUUACAAACGGUCAUUACUUCCGAAACAUUGGUUGUCCGGCUAGAUGACGACUAUUACAAAGAAAAGUUGUAACCUGAAAGUAUUCCCUUACAACUCAAUAUACUACUUCAGGUCACAAAAGAAACAUAAACAGACUCGAAGAAAAAUAAACAGUUGUGAUUGUGGCCUAAAAGCAAGCCACUAAUAACAUAGUACUUACUUAGUUGACGGGUUAAAAGCACAAUAGACACUGCUCAUAUGGAACAGUGCAAUCGAAUUAAUGAGAAAUUCAGCAAUUUAUGAACUGUAACAGCAAGAGUUCAUGUGGAUAAUUCAGCAAUUUAUGAAUCAAAGUGGUGAGAGAUCAGCGGCGAGUUCAGCAAUGUACGAAUCAAACAGGCAAGAGCAUCUAAGGAGAACAUUACUUGCAUUUCCAUCUUCACAAAUAGUUAAGAUAUGGAGAUUGUGGACAGUUAC
rnacentral:lncRNA from 1 species